rnacentral:lncRNA from 1 species
AACUUCGUUUGUAUCCUUUCUUGUCUCGACUCUCGAUGCUCACUCUCUCUCAUCAUCAUUCUAUCUCCGCCCAAACCACUACCACGACCACAUGCGUAUCUAAUCUCGUCGUCCAAGCCACGCACCACCAUACUAUUAAUGAAUCACGAUCACCACCAUCGGCUCCGCCCAUAACCCAACUGCAAGGUUGUGAAUCGAGAUGCAAAUUUCCAGCUGACAUUCAUAUUCAACAUCCAAUCCUUCCGAAUUAAGGUAAUUUAUUUAAUUUGAUUGUAAUAUCUUUCGAUUCAAAAAAAAAAAAUUAGGAUUUUGUAGAUUUACGGAUUGUAUAAUUCCAAAUUAGGAUUUGUAAAGUUAGGUAUUUCAUAAUUAGAAUUUAGAAUUUAGGGUUGUCAAUUGACACAACCUGAGUUAUACGGCUUUGGUAUUUCAAAAGUAUAUACUUCUUUCCUAGCGGUUUCCUAAUAUGUUCUUUAAUGUAAAAAUCUAACUAACUAAAAUAUUAAUUAUGUUUUUUUUUUCUUCAGAAGCAAUGGAUGCUACAGAUUUAAAUUUCGUGAACCUUAGUGAUGAGGAGUGUGUAGAAGUUACAAUGGGAACAUAAUCAGAUCUUAGUGUUUUUAUGUUUUGAGUAACAUUUAUGUGGCAAUGUUGUAUGUAGAUACUAAUUUAGUAUGAAACUUUCUAUUUGAUUAUUUAUUUAAGUAAAAUAUAUUUUAUUUAAUGGAUAACAGGUUAGGUCAUAUAUCCAUUAAUUUCAAUGAGAGUUCAGGUUGGGUAAUAUUACUCUUUUAUUUUAACAGAUUUGACACGACACGAUCUGUUAAGAUAUCGGGUACGUCAUGAAAACGUCAUCCAAAAACACAAACACGACACGAUUACCAUGUCUAUAUUAUAGGCAUGAGUCACCAUGUUCUUAAGAAACCAAAAUGAAAAACCUUCAAAAAUAAAAAAUAGAAACAAAACAAAAUGAAAGGAAUGCUAGGGAAUAAAUUUCGGAUAUGCAAAAGUGCAAGGAAAGGCUUGAAAAUUUCAAGUGAUAAUAUUCCCGACUUAUCCAGAAGUGACGUGGCGUGGACUCGUCUCUCUCUUCCCAAUCAUAUAAUUUUACAUGUGAAAGUGACAUGUUAUUUGUUCAUAUCAAUAAGGCACGUUUUUAAAAUUUUAAGGGCCCAUACAAAACUUAGACUUUAGAGUCUUAGACUUAUAAUUUACGUAUAGAAAUGUGAUACCUCAACCGCAGCCUUUCGUUACAUAAAAUAUUUACAUUUUUCUAUUUUUCUAUUUUUCAAGACUUGAGACUUGUAUCUAGUGGUCGAAGUAUUUUUGUUUUUCUAAUAGAUUUUAGACCAGUAUUCCAAAUACUUGAUUUAUUAAGUCAAGUAAUCUCACUCAUAAAGUUUUGUGUGUUUUAUGUUUAUCACAUUCGUAACCAAAGUUUUUGACGGCCUUUUACCCUAAAAUAUUGUCCCAACUACACAUUUUUCUAUCAAAUAUUCAAAGAGACCGGUUACUAAAUCCUCCCACCACACCGAUAUUACACUAACUUAACUAUACUGUUAAGUGUUGAAUUUAUCACAAAAAAAUCUCGGUGUUAUUAAGUUGAAUGUGAAAUUUAUAUUCAACAUAUUCAAGUCACUCAUCAUAUAGCAUCACUUUCAAGGCAAUAAGAAUGCAGGUAAGAGAAUAUGAAAUAUUUCCUUAAUUGUUGAUUGGUAUGGUUUGGCCAUCCAUUAAUUUGAGGCCUAAACUGAACCAAACUAAACACAAAUUUUAGCUUUGUUCAGUUGCGAAUCGUUUUACCUUGAAU